rnacentral:rRNA from 1 species
UUCUGCCACCGAAUACAUUAGCAUGGGAUAAUGGAAUAGGACCCUGUCCUCCUAUUUUCAGUUGGUUUUGGCAGCGCGAGGACUAGGGUAAUGAUUAAUAGGGAUAGUUGGGGGCAUUAAUAUUUAAUUGUCAGAGGUGAAAUUCUUGGAUUUAUGAAAGAUUAACUUCUGCGAAAGCAUCUGCCAAGGAUGUUUUCAUUAAUCAAGAACGAAAGUUAGGGGAUCGAAGACGAUCAGAUACCGUCGUAGUCUUAACCAUAAACGAUGCCGACCAGCGAUUAGGAGACGUUGAAUACAAAACACCACCAUCGGUGCGGUCGUCCUUGGCGUCGGUCUUUCGGGGCCGGCGCGGGGACGGCUUAGCCCGGUGGCACCGGUGAAUGACUCCCUAGCACUUUGUGAGA